GGGAGGGGGAGGGGCGAGGGGGCGGGGCCAAGUCCCGGCUGGCGACGGCGGCGGCGUCGGAACUCGCUGGAAGACUCAGCCCAGAGCUGCUCAACAGUUCGCAAAGUCCGGGCUCCCGGCCGCGUGGCUCCGUGUGCGCCCGGGCGGCGUUGGGGCGCGGGGGCCCGGGCUGCUGCAUGGUGGGCGGCCCGGGACAUGCCCCGCACCCCCCGCCGGACGCCCGCGUGGCUCCUCUGGCUGCGACUGCUCCGGACUCUGAGCCUAGAUUGACCGGCGCCCUAACUUCUUUCUGACUUUGGGGUCCCCCAGCCCUAGAGGAACGGGCAUCUCGGCUGGGGGAGCCCCGGACAUGGUGUGACGGGGCGGGCGGCGUGGCUGCGCCCCCCACUGCGGCCACGCACGGUCCCCGCGCCUUCCGGCAUGUAGCUGCUGUUCUCGCUCCCCCCGGCCUCCAGCCGCAGUCUCCACGACCUCCGGCCUCCAGGCGCCAACUCUUUGUCCCCCCAGGAUCCCGCCGCGGUCCUCAGGAUUGCAGCCGCCGUCUCUUCGUCCUCCGAAUUCCAGUUUCACCUGCCUUCGCGCCCCUGGGACACCAGCCGCUGUCCCUGCCACCUCCCCAGGAUCCAGCCAGCGCUCUAGCUCACCUGCACCUCCCCAACCCACCCUGCAGCCGUCGUCUCCGCUCUCCGGGCCAGUCUAGACUGCAGCCGGUGACUCCGCGUCUACCCCAAACCCAGACUCCAGCCGUGACCUCCGCGCCCCGGGGAAUCCAGCUGUCGCGCCUCUGGCCGCAGGUGCAGCUGCCGCCCCGCGCCGCGCGCCCCGAGUGCGGCCGGGCCUCGGCGGGGAGAUGAACGCACAGCUGGACGGCCUGUCGGUGAGCUCGUCCUCCACCGGCUCGCUGGGCUCGGCGGCGGCGGCGGCGGGCGGCGGCGGGGGCGCGGGGUUGCGGCUGCUGUCUGCCAACGUGCGCCAGCUGCACCAAGCGCUCACGGCGCUGCUGAGCGAGCCCGAGCGGGAGCAGUUCACUCACUGCCUCAACGCGUACCACGCGCGCCGCAACGUCUUCGACCUGGUGCGCACCCUGCGCGUCCUGCUGGACAGCCCGGUCAAGCGGCGUCUGCUGCCCAUGCUGCGUCUGGUCAUCCCGCGCUCCGACCAGCUGCUCUUCGACCAGUACACGGCCGAGGGCCUCUACCUGCCAGCCACCACCCCCUACAGGCAGCCCGCCUGGGCCGCUCCCGACGGCGCGGGGCCCGGGGAGGUGCGACUCGUGAGCCUGCGGCGCGCCAAGGCCCACGAGGGCUUGGGCUUCAGCAUCCGCGGGGGCUCGGAACACGGCGUGGGCAUCUACGUGUCUCUAGUGGAGCCGGGCUCCCUGGCAGAGAAGGAAGGGUUGCGGGUCGGGGACCAGAUUCUGCGCGUCAACGAUAAAUCUCUAGCCCGGGUGACCCACGCGGAGGCUGUCAAGGCUCUCAAAGGCUCCAAGAAGCUGGUGCUGUCUGUAUACUCAGCUGGGCGUAUCCCAGGGGGCUAUGUGACCAACCACAUCUACACCUGGGUGGACCCACAGGGUCGAAGCACAUCCCCUCCCUCCAGCCUGCCCCAGCCCCAUGGCAGCACCCUGAGACAGCGUGAAGAUGACCGAAGGAGUACCCUCCACCUCCUGCAGAGUGGAGAUGAGAAAAAGGUGAACCUGGUGUUGGGGGACGGCCGGUCCUUGGGCCUCACGAUCCGAGGUGGAGCAGAGUACGGCCUUGGCAUUUACAUCACUGGUGUGGACCCAGGCUCUGAAGCAGAGAGCAGCGGCCUCAAGGUUGGAGACCAGAUUCUGGAGGUGAAUGGGCGGAGCUUUCUCAACAUCCUGCAUGAUGAGGCAGUGAAGCUGCUCAAGUCAUCCCGGCACCUCAUCCUGACGGUGAAGGACGUCGGAAGGCUGCCCCACGCACGUACCACCGUGGACCAGACCAAGUGGAUCGCCAGUUCCCGGAUCGGGGAAAGCGUCGCCAACUCAGCAGGGUUUCCAGGGGACCACACAGAAGAAGGGACAAGCAAGCCAGGAUUUUACAAGGGCCCAGCCGGCUCCCAGGUGACCCUGAGCAGCCUGGGGAAUCAGACUCGUGCACUGCUGGACGACCAAGCCAGGCACCUGCUGACAGAGCAGGAGCGCGCCACCAUGAUGUACUACCUGGCCCAGUACCGUGGUGGCACCAUCUCUGUGGAGGCCAUGGUCAUGGCACUGUUUGAGUUGCUCAACACACACGCCAAGUUCUCACUCCUGUCUGAGGUGAGAAGCAUCAUCUCACCCCAAGACCUGGACCGCUUUGACCACCUGGUGCUGAGGCGCGAGAUCGAGUCUAUGAAGGCGAGGCAGCCCCCCGGCCCCGGGGUUGGAGACACGUAUUCCAUGGUUUCCUACAGCGACACAGGCUCAUCCACAGGCAGCCACGGCACCUCUACAACCGUCAGCUCGGCCAGGGUGUGACCUUGGACAGACUGCUCCCUUCCAGCCUGCCUUUCCAUCUGUGAAUGGAAAUGCUGGCACCAAACCUGCCCCAAGUUGCUGACCUAUGGAGACCCCCAGCCCCAAGGAUAAAGCUGGCUCCUCGGAGCAGCAAGGCCUCCCAGCUUCUCCUGAGGACCCUGCUGUUCCCCUCAAUAGGAGCGGCUGCUGUGGCUUAUAGACCUGAUGGAGAAUACAUUAGACCUGGAAGGAACCGGUGAGACCACCCAGGGCAGCACCAACGCUCUCCCGGAUGUGUCUGUGGAUGAUGUCAAAUCCCCCUCAGAAGAUCUGCCUGGUAUCAAGCCACCUCCUCCCCCACCACCCCUGGCUCAAGGUCAUGACCGCUUGCUUGGCCAGCCACGGAAGCCAGGGAGGGAGGACCCCGCACCUCUGUCUUCUGCUGCCCACUCAGGCAUUGUCUUCUCAGCACCACGGAACCGCAGCCCGCCGCCAGGGACUGCUCCCACUCCGGGACCUUCCUCAGCACAGGACUCUCCCUCCUCCCCCAUUUAUGCCUCCAUCUCCCAUGCCAACCCCAGUUCCAGAAAGCCGCUGGACACCCACCUGGCCCUGGUUAACCAGCACCCCAUCGGCCCCUUCCCUCGAGUCCAGUCCCCACCUCACCUGAAGAGCCCUCCUGCAGAGACCCCAGGAGCUGGGGCCUGCCUUCCACCACCAUCACCCUCUGAACACCCUGACGCCGUGGGUGCAAACCAGCACUUUGUUCUGGUGGAGGUGCACCGUCCGGACAGUGAGCCUGAUGUGAAUGAAGUGCGGGCUCUGCCCCAGACUCGCACAGCCUCCACACUCUCUCAGCUCUCAGACAGUGGGCAGACCCUGAGCGAGGACAGUGGCGUGGAUGCCGGGGAGACGGAGGCCAGCACCUCAGGCCGAGGCAGACAGACAGCAUCCGCUAAGAACAAGAAUGGCAAGGAGCAGCCCCGGACGGAGAGGACCGCGGAGGGUGCCAACAAACCUCCCGGCCUGCUGGAGCCAACGUCCACCCUGGUCCGUGUGAGGAAAAGUGCAGCCACACUGGGCAUCGCCAUUGAGGGCGGUGCCAACACACGCCAGCCUCUGCCCAGGAUCGUCACAAUUCAGCGAGGAGGUUCUGCCCAUAACUGUGGACAGCUCAAGGUGGGCCACGUAAUUCUGGAAGUGAAUGGGCAGACACUUCGGGGUAAGGAGCACAAGGAGGCCGCCCGAAUCAUCGCUGAGGCCUUCAAGACCAAGGAGAGAGACUACAUCGACUUUCUGGUCACUGAGUUCAACGUGAUGCUCUAGGGGUGGGGCCAAGUUCAGGGCUAUCAGCCGGGGUCACAGGCAGAGUCUCCCACCCCACCCUGACACAUACACCCUGCCUGGGCCCUUGGCCCAGACUAGGAGAAGAAGAGGGCCAGACAAGGCAAGCAGAAAGUCAGGUUAAAACCUGUGUGCCAGAAACACAGUAGGGGCUCAAUAAAACUAUGUUAGGUGAAGGGAAGGAAGGCAGAGUACAUUUCUCUAGGCUGGAGAGGGGUACUGCCACCCCAGAUGCCUAGGCCUUUGGCUGUGAGGACACAGGAGAGUUCACACAGACUGCUUCCUGCCAGGAGGACCUUCAGUGCCACAAAUGAGCCGCCAGCACGCUUGUUCACACCAGUCGCACCCCCUUCCUCCUGGCUCCGUGCCCCUAUGGUAUUUAUUUAUUUAUUUAUUUCCCUUCCUGUGCUUCAGGGGAGCCCCCCCCCCAAAGGCCCCAGCUUCCCUUUGCACUCCCAGCCUAUCCCAGAGGCCUUGCAGGCGACCAGCAAUGUCAGUGUAUUUAUAUACAGAGCUUAUGACUUUAAUUUUUCAAUAAAUAAAUCUGAACAAGGUUGG